rnacentral:rRNA from 1 species
AGUGAACGCUGGCGGUAGGCCUAACACAUGCAAGUCGAACGGCAGCACAGAGGAGCUUGCUCCUUGGGUGGCGAGUGGCGGACGGGCGAGGAAUACAUCGGAAUCUACUCUGUCGUGGGGGAUAACGUAGGGAAACUUACGCUAAUACCGCAUACGACCUACGGGUGAAAGCAGGGGACCUCCGGGCCUUGCGCGAUUGAAUGAGCCGAUGUCGGAUUAGCUAGUUGGCGGGGUAAAGGCCCACCAAGGCGACGAUCCGUAGCUGGUCUGAGAGGAUGAUCAGCCACACUGGAACUGAGACACGGUCCAGACUCCUACGGGAGGCAGCAGUGGGGAAUAUUGGACAAUGGGCGCAAGCCUGAUCCAGCCAUACCGCGUGGGUGAAGAAGGCCUUCGGGUUGUAAAGCCCCUUUGUUGGGAAAGAAAUCCAGCUGGCUAAUACCCGGUUGGGAUGACGGUACCCAAAGAAUAAGCACCGGCUAACUUCGUGCCAGCCGCCGCUGUAA